CCAACCCCACCCCCAAAUCCUCGAUCCCCAAACUCUUCCCUACCGCAGCUCCCACACGGCCACCCACUCCUCGUGGGCCACGGUGCAUCACCCCCGUCCUCGCCUAUGGUGCACGUCGGAGGCUCAAAGGUCGACGUCACGCCGCUCGCAGAGCUCCACGCAUUCCUAGGGAGCGCUACACCGAGUCGUUGCCCAGGUCGGAAGAUCGUCGCCUUGGCCCCACCUAAGAUCCGCGUCGGGCUCGACGCUACGCCGCGCCGCCAGCUCCAGCGACCCGCCAGCUCUACGCCCCAUCAGGUAGUCACGUGAACUGAAUCGAUGAUGUUGCUCAUCAGUUGUCAUGAAAUGUGAUGUUGCUUACCAGUUUUUCAUGGUAUUAUUUAGUCUACAAUAACAUAUCCACCGGGUACCCGAUGGGCAUGGGUACAGGUACAAUUCCUCGCUUGAUUGACUUGGUGGGUAUGGAUAUUUGUAGAAGUCUCGGGUACAAUAUUGGGUCGGGUAUUAUUAUACCCGAAUACAACCUGACCCGCUGCCAUCCAUAGGGAUGGUCCCAGGCACCAUCAUUCGAGCUACACCAACCCUUACUUCCGUAGCCUGGGGCUCUGCCAUCCCCGGCCCCGGGCUCGGUGCCGCGGGGUUUGAUCGGGGCCGGUCCUUACAGGGUUGGUGCACCUGCCUCCUCCGACUGACUAACAGGCCCCAAUGAUCAAGAGCUCUUUUCUCAGCACACUCACUGACUGGCGGGUCCUAAGGACCGGGAAUCAUUUCCAGACACAUAAGCAUGAGGUUGUUCACUUUAAUAUUAAUUUUAUUUUUAUAGAUACUAAAUAUGAGUGUAUGUCGUCGCAAUACACAAGUAUUGGACUAGUUAAUCUAAAAGGAGCACAAAUAGAGAUAGAGGUGGAGAGAGAUCUAGCCCUUGAUUCAUUUGCUCUCUCGAUUGCUCUCUGCUCUCAUCUCUCCUUGGUUCUUAAUUCAUUUACAGUCUUAAUUUCUCUACGCACUUAUUUGUAUGGUGAAACAUUAAGCAUGCUUAGAAACGCUUAAGUAUACUUAAACUCUAGACAUCACCGCUCGCUUAGCAUUUGAUCAUGUAUAUAAAGAUCAUUUGGUACUGUAGAAGGGCUAUUUUUUAAUAAAAAAACUUGAUCAAGUUUAGGAUGGUUCGACUUAGAGGGCCCUUGUUUGGGAUUAUCUAUUUAUAUUAUAUAAUCCAAUAAAAUUUGAACUAAGUGACAGAUAAUCUGAGUAGAUUAUUAUCUCAAACAAAUACCAAGACACCUAAAAAAUUAUUAGAUCUAACGGUGGCCAACUUAGCACGACCCACAUUUUCAGAGUGGAUUAUUACAGUAUAGUUGCUAUGUCACCAACCUAGUAACAAUCGGUACAAACUUGAGCCAAAUUUACAAUCUCGACGGCACCCCUCCAGCAACAACAAUGGUUUCAGCUGUGAUGAAUGAUGCAUCGUCAGAUGCCAGGAAUGCGGCAGCUGCCGCCAUAUCUUCCACGGAACCCAAUCUCUUAAGCAUAGUCCUCUCGUUAAGCUUUUUCCUCUGUAGAAUAAUUCAGGUUAGGUCAAUGGAUUUGAAUGGAAGGAACAAUGAUAAGCUGGAUAAAAUCUUGAAAUGAAUGGGUGUGAAUAACUUUUUUGCGCCAUUCAAUUAGAUGAUGAUAAAUCUAGACAUAUAUAAAAAAUAUAUACAUCAUUUAUUGUAUGAAUGCAUUAAAAAUAUAAAACAAAUUUUAAUUUGGGACAGAGGGAGUAGUAGACAAGAACCAGUGAUGGACACAUGGAUAAUCUCAUCUAAGUAAAAUACCCUCCGCAGAUUCGGAGCUUUACUUUCUCUAUACACAGAUAAACAUACAUAUUUUUUCCAUACAAGGAAGAAACAUUGUAAUAGUGUCAAAUGUUUUCAUUGUCAUUAACCAAUCAUCAAAAUAUAUAUGAAGACAAACUAUGCAUGCAAAGAUAGAGAAAUUACUUACAAUGGUCUCGUUGUCUAUGAAGAAACUAGCAAACCGUGUCGGAACAAAACCAGGGGCUAUACAAUUAACACGAAUAUCGGGUCCCAUCUCACCAGCAAGAGCCUAAAAGGUGAAGAUCAGAAGCUUAGCAAUAAAUUAUAAAAAAUAGUCUACUAGUUUAUCUUAAAAUUAUGCAUAAAUUGAUGCUUUUUUUGAAAAAAGGUCCAUAUAAUCUCAUGAUGUGCAACAUGUGUACAACAUAUCUUCUACUUUAGCCUCCACCUUAAAAAAGGCAUUGUAACACCAUUCAAAUAACCACCUCAGGGCGUGUUCAUUUUCAUCUCAAUCCAUGCGGAUUGGAUGAGGUUGAGUGGGUGUAAAUUCAUAGCAAGUCAAUGAUUUUUUCAAUCUCAUCCAAUCUAUAUGGUGUAGAAAUAACUGAACAAGGCCUCGGGUGGUUUUUGCCACCAUGUCACUUAAGCCCGCAUGUUAGAGAUGACACAUGGUGAUUGGCCAUCCUAGCUGGCAUUGAUGCCACUGUGUCAUGCCCACUAUGACGUCAAUGAUAUAAUCUAACCCACCCACUCCAUUCCACAACCACAGGUAUGGAGAAGAAGCCAAAGGUGGAAACAACUAUGUAACAUCUCCCGUGGUCUAAAGGGUCGACACAUCACAAAAAAACUGAUGAGUAGCUUGUGCUAGAUGGUAGCCCUUUUUCUGAUGUCAACAUAGCCAAGCAUAAGGACAAAGCAGCCGUGGGCGAAAACGCCAUGUUGGAGAUAGUUGUGAUCACCAUAGCUAUGAUCAGGUUGUCAAGGUUGACACAAUCGUUCAUGAAGGCGCACGUGCAAAACAAACACAAUGGUGACGAUAGAGACACAUUAAGGUAGUAAUCGUGGAAGGAGAUGAUAUUGAGGUCAAAGCAGCCAGGGUCGUAGAGGGCGUAGAUAUAAGACAAUGAUGUAAAUGAGGCAGAUAAAAUCGGAACAGAGGGUCAAUAUAGUCAAGCCAUCAUGGAUGAAGCAUGCAUCGGGGUUGUUAGACCUGAUAAUGCUUCGAGGAUGGAAGCACACACUAAUGUUGCUAAUAAAGCAUGUACUAGGUAGAGAGCUACAACUAUAAGCCAUUGUCUAAGGGGCUUCACGUCAGUUGUGAUGCCCUGAAUGGUGGAGAUAGAAGGUGUUGAUGCAACUUACUGUUGUUAGAGUAGACAAAAGGGUAGGAAAGAGACGAUGUUGUUGGCAACAAGGAUCUGCUAGAUGAAGAAGUGUGUGAAUAUACACUCCUGCCCAAAAGCAAGCAAUCCAGGCGGUGCUCGAUGUCCACAAUGAACUUGAAAAACUUGAUAAAGAUCAAGUGCAAACAAGUGGUGCACAAGAGAUGCAACACGAUUGUCGAAGGUAAAUAGCAAGAUAGAGAUGCAAACUCUCGUGGAUGACGCUGGUAUUUUUACCGAGGUAUCCGGAACCAUGCAAGGUUUCGACUAUUCCUCAUUGGUGCCCCUACGCAAAGGGUAGCCCACGCGAGAGCCAAGCACCUUGGUCGAGUAACUCCGUAGAGAGCCGCGGGCCUUCUCCACGCGUAAGUGGUGCUCCGCUUCCGGCUCUUCUCGGACGCUCUCCGUCAUCUCCACUAUCGAGCUUCUGGUCGAAACGCGCGGGUCUCGUUCCCUCCAGUACACGGUGGCGACCGUGACACAAACUCGGUUGUCACGGUCUUGCAAUACUCUCGCCCCACUCGAUAUAGUUACAACGACUCGCGCAAGAGCCGAGAGGUUGUGUGGUUUUUCUAAACUCAUUCAACUAACUAGAAUUCACAUAGAACAAGAGCAUAAGCGGUCUAACUAACCUAAGCACUUCGCAAAGCACCUACGCUAAUCACCGUGUGAUUAUUUUGCAACGAGAUUAGUGAGGGCAGUCUUCGACUCUUCGUCAACGAAUAUGGACCACGACGACGAAGACAACAUAAGGAGGUAGGUGACUAGUAAUAUGGCCUAGCUAGAACGAAGAUGACAUCGACAAAUCAAUAUGACCAUCUGUUCAAACAAGGAUGUUGUCCCUCUCACAUCAUAUGCAUUUUGCAACUCAACUUGAUCCAGUGGUGUACAAGUACAAUGAUUUUUUAGAGUUUUAACAUGCCACUACAAUAUGAUAUGCUCUCUAGUCAUGUACUCUCUGCAUCCUAAAUUACAAUAACUAUUAGAGAGUGAAAGCAUCUCAUUAGUCCAAAUUUAUAUAAUAAAAUAAUAAACUUUAUGAUAUCAAUUAAGUAUCAUUUGACCUUUCAGUUUUCACAAAUUAUAUAUAUACAUAUAUUAUUGUCAUAAGUACUUGUGAUCUAUUUAUAAUUUUGGUCAAACUUGAUAGGAUUUAACUCUUCAAGAAAGUUGGAAUAACUUAUAAUUUAGAAUAGAUUGAAUAUAUAUUAAAGGGACAUGCAUGAGCAUUCAAACGGACAUCCAAAUGGGAAAGUAACAUGCUCAUGUGUGCUUCAUUAAUCCAAUAUUAUUCAAUUAUGAACUUGCCAAACAUACGUUUUACAUAAUAAAUUACAAAAUAAUAUAAUUCACGAAGAUGUAUUAAUAUUUAUUACAACUUUCUAUCCAUAUAAAUGAUAACGAGACGAUUCUGACACUGGUCAGAUACAUCAAACAGAGUGAAAAAAUAACUCAAAAACAGAUAAGAUAUACCUUUGUGAGACCAAAGAGAGCGGUCUUUGUAACACCAUACAUUGUCAAUCCUUGCUCAGGAUUGUAACCAGCAAUUGAAGAAAUAAGGAUCACAGAUGACCCUGCCCGUAGGUGGGGAGCAGCAUCCUAAGAAAACGUUCGAUAGAGGAAGAUAAUGAUGUCAUCUUUAUUUGUGGAGAAUGUCGAAUAGGAGGAAGAAUCCGCUCACCUGAAUAAGAAGAAUAGAAGCCUUGACGUUAAUAUCCCACAACUUAUCGAGAACAACCUCUUUCAUUUCAAGUAUGACAUUCACAGUAGGAUUUGCAGCAGCGUUGGAGACAAGAAUAUCAAUGUGCCCAAAGUUCUGCAACCAUAUAAUCAGUUGAUUACUGCUACACGAAUCCUCACAUCCUCAAAUGCUUUUCAAUAUAUAAGACAUGAACAUAAACUAAAAUAAUGUACAACAUGAUCAACAAAACAAGUGAUUUGAGAUACGAAAAAGGUACACUUUAGAUGCAAGCGAAUAAGACAAGGUAUGACCACUGUGUGUCGAAGUACUAAUGAAGUAAAUGCAAGUUGAGCUAGCCAUCAACCUCAAUGUCACAAGAUGAACAGAUAAAAGAGAAAUGACACGGCCUUUUGGCUCGAGACUUUCACUUUCACAUGAUAAAUAUAUACUACGCUACUGUUCGUAAGCUUGGAAAAGCUAUUGACUAAACUGAUAAAAGAGCGUUAUACUCAUAAGUGAAAUUCCAGUAGAUAUUUGUAUAAAUGAGGUUGUCUUAGUUCAUAAUUUAAGAAAAAGACAAUUCUAGCUCUAGUAGCGGCAUUAUUUGCACUUAUGCACAAAUAGAUCUCACUGUUACCCAGUUUAAAGAUGUAUCUAUCAAUGUCUGUGUUUUACCAACCAUGAACCCAUGUUUCUUAGCUAGUUUGGACAAUGCCGUUGCACCAAAAAAUGUACUACAUUCCAAAAUAUUAGUCGGUUUAGCUAUUAUUCUUUAUGUUUAUAUUCAAAUAGAUGAUAAAUCUAGACACACAUACAAAACACAUGCAUCAAGAAUUGUACGAAUCUACAAAUUUUCUAAAACGACUACUACCUCCGUAAUUAAAUAUUUGUCGCUCGUUAGUUCAUUUUUAUAUUAAACAUGACAAAUAAAAAAUAACGGAGAGAGUACUAUUUUAGCACGAAGCUAGUAUUAAGCAAGCAGCUAGAGAAAAUACGAGGUGGCGACUAACGAGGGCAGGCAGGUAAUGUCGGGUGAGCAACAGAGCCAGAUCCUACUAGGAAAAAAACAGAGUUGACAGGAAUCCCCCUCUUCCCCAAGGUUCAGCAAAACGUUAACCGCAGGGAGGCCUGAUGGGAUCGCUUAGCAACAAGAGGAAGCUGACAAUGCAAUGUAAUCCAUCUGAAAAUGAACUAUUUUGGACUGAGCAAAUACGAGGACAACAAAACAAGCCCUGAAAGACUGGAACCCCCUUCCACAGUUGCGACCUUGACGGCCGUCUCGAUGAUGUUCUUGCGUUGCUGUGCGUCGGAUACGUGGCAGACGGCGCCCACCACGGUGAUCCCCUUGGCCUUGAGCCCCUCCACGGCCUCGUCCACGUUCUUCUGCAUGCAACGCCCCCCAACCGAUGCACAGAAACCCGCAGUCAGAAAGAGCAGUAGGGAAAUUCGAUCCCAAGAGAGGAUUGCAAGCAGGAAGGGCGAUCAAAGAAACGAGAAGAUUGUUGCCGUCUCAGCUGGAUCUGGACCUGCUUGCGGGAGGAGACGACGGCGGCGGCGCCCUCCAGGCCGAGGCGCUCGGCGAUGGCUAGGCCGAUCCCCUGCGUGGACGCCGUCACGACGGCCACCUUCCCCUCCAGACGCCGGCAUUUGACAUCCAUCGUCACCACCGCGCAGGCCAAGCUUCGAGGUCGUCGGUCGCUCUCCUCUCUCAAGUCUCAAGAACGCCGGCUCUUCGCUGAUGCUGGUAUAGCCUGGUACAGCAGUGCCCACUGCCCGCGCGUUGCCCAAAGCGGCAAAGCCAUUAACCAUCCUAGUUCAAAACAAGACCGACACUGGGGGGCCGGGCGGGGGCGAUGGAGGUGCGGGGACCGGAGCAGGCGCCGAAGAGGUGACGACAGGCCGUGCGGGGUCCGGAGCCACCUGUCAACGAAGGAUAGGCUAAGAAGAGGAGAAGUUGUGCGAGGACUCCUGAUAUGAAGCUAAAAUAAAAAUAAAAAUAAAAAUUUAUAUCACCACUAGUACUUGAUCUUACAUUUAAUAUAUAGUUUUUGAAAUACGUGAUAUCUUCUAUCUAUUUGCUUGUCACUAGCUAUUCUUGUUUUUCCCAUAUUUUUUAUCCACGUAGGAAAGAGAGUGAAUCUAACUAAUAAAAUAGCUAGCCAUUAGAGACACCCUUACUGACACGUUUAAAAGAGAGUAGCUAAAGAAUCUCUGAACAGAUCAUCUUCCAUUACUAGUAGUAGUUUAGUUUUUCCUUCUUUUAUUAGAGUUCUCUAAGAUACUACUAAUACAUUUAGGGCUAGUUUAGGAGUUAGAGGAACCAAGCCUAGGAAGAGAAAACCUCCUAUGAAUAACUAAAUGUAUUUUAAAAUGAUACCCUCUGAAAUUGUACGCCUUGAAAAAAACAGAGAUCUUAAGGUGAUUUUAGUUCCUAAACUAGUCCUUGAAGUGGAUAUGCAAGGAAUUAAAUCACCAUUCAUUCGAGGGAAACAUAAGGUAGAUUUUGAUAAAUUAUUUAAAACAUUUUCCAUUUACAUGACCUAGACAAUAAUACCAGAUAAAAGUGAUAUUUCAAUCAUUAGGUAAAAAUCUUUUUUAUUAAUGUUAUGAACAUAAUUAUCGUCAAGAUUUAGGAUAUACAACCCAUCCAUGGAUCGAGAUUCCUGCACACAAAAAUUUACUCAAAUAAAUAGAACAACAUUUAUUCUUAAUUGUUAUCUUAUAACCACCAUCUUUCUCUAGAACUAAAAAAUAUAUAAUGUCCUUACACAAAACUGGAAUAUAAUAAUAAUUAGUUAAUCCAAAAACCAAUGAUAAGGGCAACGAUAAAUGAUAAGUGUUGAUGGCCAGCGCAACAAUAUUUAUCAUGUUGUCUACACGCGCAUAAACGCAUUCAACUCAACUCUUGCAAUUUUGUAGUUCUUUUUAGUUUCUACAAUGAUUUUUCAGUAUGAAUCAUCGAUCCGGUAUCAAAUACACAUGAUUCACUAAAAACAACCAGAUUAAUUUCGAUAAUACAUAUACAUGAAGUAGAAGUCCCACUUUUCCUUCCUUUUGUCUUCGAGGUACUUUUUUGUUGUUCCUAGACAAAUGUUUAAGGUUGCCAUAAUAUAAACAUUUGUCUUUAGAAGGGCCAAACUUAGGCGUUGCAUUUGCCUUUGAAAUCUCAUCUUUAUCCUUGCCCUUUAUAAAGUGUUUUGGCUUUCGCUAUCUUUCUAAACCAUCAUCACAUGGUCAAAAAUCUUUUUAAUGUUCUCCUCGGUUGUCUUAAGCAUCCCAUAUAACUCAAACAAGAUCUUCUCCAUGCCAUUCAUGUGAAAGUUCAAAAUGAACAACUCAUAGCUUAGAGGGAGAGAAUAGAGGAUCACAUCCAUAAAUAGCUCAUCAAGAAGAGCAAAACCAAGCACAUCAAGGCUCUCAAUGUAACCCGUGGUCUUGAUUACACGAGGAUAGAUUGGACUUCCUUUGGUUAGCUAGCAUGAAAACAGAGACUUAGAGAUAUCAUAUCUCUCAACCCUUGCUUGGUUCAUGAACAUGACAUGAAGUUCUAUAAUCAUAGUGUAGAUAUAUGCAUACUCAUAUUGCUUCUGAAGCUCAAAUGACAUAGUGGCAAGCAUGAGGCAACUAACAUCAGGGAGUUAUUGGUGUACUUCUCAUAAGUACUUUGGUUAGCAUCACUUGCACUCUUCGAUGACUCAUCAGGAUAUGGAGUCUUAGGAACAUACUACAUAUUUUCUUAUCUAAGAACAAUUUUUAAGUUACAGUACCAAUCAAUAAAGUUUGCUUCAAUAACUUUUCCUUUGUCAAGAAUCGAUUGCAAAUUAAAAUCGGUAGGAACAUUAGGUGCCAUCGCUAUAAUUAAAAUAAAAGGCAAAGUUCAACACUAUGUUUACUUCAUUCUUUUAUUAAACAAUUUAACAAAAUAUUAUUCCAGUACAUAUUUUGGAAUUCUUCCUUCAUCUGAUGACAUAUAGUGGACAAGAUCCAUGUUCAAUAAGUUAUGGUGAGCUUCGGUGUCACGGCUAUAACAUAAUGACCUAUGUAAGAAUUAUUUACUAACCAUAUUCUAUGAGACUAUUGUUUGUUGGGUGGCAACUAGUACCUCGGAUCCCAACAUCAUGCCAAAGGCCCAAACACGGUUUGAUUGUCUCGCUAAGUAAUCAACAUUAUGUAUGUAGAUGUCCAAUAACCACCCUAUUAGAUUAAAUAAUCAAUAAUACUCUACUUUAGCAAACCUACCAAGUGAUGAUUAGAAUAUUUAAAGACAUAACAAUUGAAAUGUCAUCACAAUAAACUCUUAUUUUUUUGAGGGAAUUUAUCCUAUCAUAAUUAGCACAUGAACAAAUAGUAUAAUAGUAAAAUAAAACAUCACAGACAAUCAUAUUAAAUGCGAGAUAUUAUGCCCCUUACAUGGUGAUUUCUAUCAUCAAAUCCCGUAUAUGACUAUUAUAUUUGGGCCAUACCAUUCAAAACAUUCCCUGCAAAACCAAGUUAAACACAGAAUUGGAUACCACCAUAUGGUGUUUAAAAGACUAUCCAAACAAUCUACACGAUGCACAUAGAUGACAAUCUCACUAUUUUUACUAUCAAUCAUAUUGACAAUUACGUGAGAUAGAACGAUAAUAGUACAUCCAAUUUGAAUAUAUAUGUUGUUUUCACAAUCUGAAAGAUACAUACACAGUUAGCCUCGAUGGUGAUUCUAGUCAGGAGGGGCAAGUUGUGUGACUGGUCACUAGAAAAAACAAAUUGGUCUUGUGCUCCAAUGGUGAUUCCAACUUGUAAGGACAACUAGUUGUGCGACUAUACCUACAACUAUAUCAUCCAUAUCAAUUAAUGCUACAACCAAAGCAAAAGUAGAUUCAAUUUACUAGGCAUAUCAUCUAAAUGAAAAUUAUCAAGAUAAAAAUCUCCGUACGACCUAGUUUUGAUAACACUGUAGGAAAACAUGUAUGCUAUUAACUUAAAAUAUCUACCACAUUCAAUCAAGAUGGCAUGCGAGUAGAGGAUCAUGCUUCGUUACCACUAGACACAUAGUGCGACGGAAGAAUAAGCGUUGAUGUAGUGGAAGUAGUAAAACGUCCUCGCAUAUCAAUAGCAUCAACACGAUCACACAUGCUCCUCAAGUUCGUUGUUGAUCAACAUCUAGCAACAACAUCAACAUCUCCAUAUUAUCCACACGUGCGAGGAUGAAACGCCGUGACGUCGAUGUGCUAGCACAUCACGUGCAGCAAGAAAAACGAUGGUGACGUCUUGAGCGUUCACAACAUUAUGGAGAUAGACGACAAUUAAGAUAAUCCUCUCUAACACGACAACCCUUUCACACACAUUAUAUGCACACACACACCCUUAUUAAUGAGUUUUUACACACAUUAAAGCUAUCAUGGAUCAUGAUUGUCUCUUGGUCAUAUAUUUAACAAUUUCAUCCCCUUUUAUCUAGAAAAGUUGUCUCAUAAAAAAACAGAGAAAUUGAAGUUUGCUCUAUCGAAUAAGUCAUAGCUGAAACUAUAUUUUAGCUAGAGCUCUAGCCUAAUAAGAGAGGGGUUGUCUUCUAGCUAAAUGAGGCAUUGGCUUACUUGGAUUUACUUGACGCUACACGUGACCCUAUAAGUAAUGUGUUUAGCUCCGAAUUAGGCGUAGGUCGUGUAUAUGGACGUAAAAAUAUUGUUUCACUGUAGAUUGGAGUUUUAAACAGGGAGUAAGGUAAAAGAUGGGAUAUGAAGGCUGCUAGAGAUACUUACAAUAGUAUUCCUUUUUCUUUCUACUCGACGCAUACAUCUAGUUUUGGUAUCAGAUUUAAUAACCGAGAUAUAUCUUGUCUUUUGGGGUGGUGCUCCCGUCACCAUCGAAGCUUUGGCAUCGCGUUUGGAGCGGCUGACUGAGACGAGAUGUUCUCGUGGCCAGCACUACCAGCAUUCGGCAGCCCGCUGCCACCUCCGAGAAGAUAUUGCUAGGAUAUGCACACGGGCCAGGGGAGCACCUCGCGCACCAGCACAGCGGCCGAGCUAACUAGUGAGACGACAUUGCCAUGGAAGGGACGACCAGGGCAGGCAGUGACGUGAGCCUUGCUGCUGCCCCUAUAGCUAGCUAGCUAUAUAUAUAAGCCUACCAGACGCGCUGAAUUGAGCACAGCACAACAGCGUCCGCGGAGAUGCAGAUCCAGAGGUAGCGCGUCGGCGGCGUGAGCCUUGGUGCUCGGUUCAUCACUCUCCGUCGUCCGUGCCUCUGUUCACUCGCCGCCGUGAGUCCGGCCGGCCGGCCGGCCGUGACCGGGACGAUGGACAAGCCGAGGAGUGGGAGUGGCCAGGGGAAGAAACGCAGGGGAGGAGGAGGCGGACUCGGCGGGGCGCUGAGGAAGCAGAUGGCCAGGCUCUGCAUCAUCCGGGAGUGCGUCAUCAUGCUCCUCUUCUACCAUGACUGAUCCAGUCCAGUCCACUGAUGCCCUUGGCGGUUCUUCCUGGCCAUGCCUUGACGACUGCCUUUUUCUUUUCU
rnacentral:lncRNA from 1 species